UACGUAGGGCGCAAGCGUUGUCCGGAAUUAUUGGGCGUAAAGAGCUCGUAGGCGGUGUGUCACGUCGGCCGUGAAAUCCCGAGGCUCAACCUCGGGUCUGCAGUCGAUACGAGCAAACUAGAGUGUUGCAGGGGGAGACUGGAAUUCCUGGUGUAGCGGUGAAAUGCGCAGAUAUCAGGAGGAACACCGGUGGCGAAGGCGGGUCUCUGGGCAACAACUGACGCUGGAGGAGCGAAAGCGUGGGGAGCGAACAGG
rnacentral:rRNA from 1 species